rnacentral:lncRNA from 1 species
AUGGGAGUUUGGUAUGGACUCAAAUGUCUGGGGACAAGACUGCCCCCACUGGGGACUCCUUUACUACAAAGAAACCUCUUCUCCCCCUCCACAGCCCCACAUGCAGGUCCGGUAGGAGUCUCCAAAUCCCAUCUGUCUCCCUGCGCUGCAGUUGCCUUGCUUUACCUGCAGAGUUUGGCAUCCGGUAGCAAUGUCUCGAACCCCUGGAGUGUCAGGUCUCCUAGAGAGUGGAGCUAGCUCCCAUCCUUCCAAGUGCAGCAAUGACAUUAAGGACAUUUGUUCACAUGGAUCACAGUUGGUGUUGGAAAGUUGUCCUACCUGGACAUUGCUGUCAGAGCCAUGGACUAAAAUACUCAGUUCUGGCCUAAAUAAAGCAAGCUCUCAGUGUCAAAGACUUUUUUUUUGAGAUAGAGUCUUGCUCUGUUGCCCAGGCUGGAAUGUAAUGGUGUGAUCUCAGCUUACUGCAACCUCCGCCUCCCAGAUUCAAGCAAUUCUCCCGCCUCAGCCUCCUGAGUAGCUGGGAUUAUAGGUGCACGCCACCACACCUGCUAAUUUUUGUAUUAUUAGCAGAGGCGGGGUUUCACCAUGUUGGCCAGACUGGUCUCCAACUCUUGGCUUCAAGUGUUACGCCCGCCUCAGCCUCCCAAAGUGCUGGGAUUACAGGUGUGAGCCACAGUGCCUGGCCUUUUUGAGGACUGUUAUACGUAAAAGAAAAUUCAGACCAUGGGCAUAACAUUCCUUUAGCUGUUUUGCAUAGACAUGUUUUUUUGCUUUAAUAUGGGUCCACUGGGAAAAGGUUUGUGGAAAUCUGAGCAGCUGAUGUUUGUGCACUCAGAUUCUUUGGGAUCUAUCUGUGAGACUUGAUGAAGCAAUAUGGCUUCCACCAUUUCCCUAGGGAAAAGGUUACUCAAGGUUACUGAACUCAUGAAGCCAUGUGGAUUUCCAGCAUGUGUUAUUAUAAUCUCACUAUCCUUCUGAUUUUAAAAUGCUGUAAGUCUGCAACUUUUUUCUGUGGUCAUCACUUCCCCAAGGUAUCCACCUUCCAGUUUGUCCUAUGGAGCCAUGCUCUUGGCAGAGUUUGGCAUUAUUUUUUAUUGGGGGUUUUAUUUUUGUAAAAUUGUGUUAAAUCACUAGUAAGGAAGACUUUGUUUAAUUUGUAUUUUUGGAGGGGAAGAAAUAUUUUUUGGUAUAACCAUCAUAAAUCUUACCAGCUCGUAAGUGGAGCUUCAUUUCCAGAUACUGUAUGUUAAAGCCACCAAUAUUUCAAGAGAUUCUAGAGACUAUGAUGUUUGUUGAAUGACUGAGUUUUCCAGCAUCAUUUCUAGCCUUCAUCAUAUGUUAUCAUAACAAUAAUUAUAUCAGUUAUAAAGAGUCUAAACCCAUAGUUGGAUAAAUGAAAUCAAAUACCCUUCAUUUUUUGUAAGGUUUUCCAGCCUGAGCAAUGUCUCACAGGUAAAAAAACAACACAAAAUUAAGGCAAUUACUUUAUUUUGAACAAGGAAGUGGCAUAAUAAUUUUGGGAGAAAUAGCUGUCUUCUAUCUGGUUAGUUAUCUACUGUUGCACCUUCUUUUUUUUUUAAUUUUUUGAGACAAAGUCAAGCUCUUGUCACCCAGGCUGGAGUGCAAUGGUGUAAUCCUGGCUCACUGCAACCUCUGCCUCCUGGGUUCAAGCAAUUCUCCUGCCUCAGCCUCCCAAGUAGCUGGGAUUACAGGCACCUGCCACCACACCCGGCUCAUUUUUGUAUUUUUAGUAGAGACAGGGCUUCACCAUGUUGGCCAGUCUGGUCUCGAACUCCUGACCUCAGGUGAUCUGCCUGCCUCGGCCUUCCAAAGUGCUGGGAUUACAGGCGUGAGCCACUGAGCCCAGUGCACCUUCUUGUAAAGUAAGCACCACAUCAUCUCUAGAAUGAGCAUCUAACUGCUCGUUGGGAGAUGAAACUUUCAUUCUGGUUUGAGAUGAAUGCAUGGACUCACAUGGGGCUACAGAACCACUAGUCUUGACUGAGUUAGAGAAAAUGAAGGUAACAUGUUUAUAUUUCUAAGUUGCUUCCAUUGUAAAAAUAAGUUUUAUAUCUCCUUUUGUUAGAAAAUAUUCUGGUCAAAUAAUCUUGCAAAGGGAAGAUAACCUAGCCUCAAGUCUAUCAUAUAAAAGCAAAGAGACAAUGAUUGAUUUUCUGCUCAGUUAUGAUGUUUAGGACUUUUACAGGGCACAUGUU